rnacentral:rRNA from 1 species
CUUGACAAAUGGAGCUAUUGGCUUUGAAUUGUAUUGUGGAAAUGUAUUACCAACAGAGGUGCAGGUGCCAGCCUAUUGAAAUAAAGCGUCAAUGAGGGUGAGAAUCCUGUUUGUCAUGUGCAGCCCUUUGUGCACGGUGUAUAUUUGCUGAGUCACACUCCUUGGCAUUGGAAUGCAAAGUGGGUGGUAAGUUUCAUGUAAAGGUAAACAUGCAAUUGAGACUGAUAGCACACAAGUACCAUGAGGGAAAUAUGAAAAGGACUUUGAAAAGAGAAUUAAAUGAGUUUGUAUUUGCUGAACACAAAGUAAACAGACUUGAUUUGCUUGGUGGGAGUGUUGCACUUGCUUGACAAGAGCUUUGGGCUGUGGGUGUAAUGAUUCUUUCUUUGCAUGCCAGUUUCUAUUUGUACAUCUGAUUACCUUUGCACAUGAAUGAUAAGUCUCCUGUGGGGGGUGGAUUGCAUGUGCAUGUAAUGAUUUGUGUUUUGAUAAAUGUGUCUGGUGUAUGUGUGUGUUCCUGUGCUUGGGGAUGCUUCCUUCCUUGGACUUACAAGCCCUGACACACACAUGCUGGCAAAAUGCUUCUGCUUGACCCGUCUUGAAACACGGACCAAGGAGUCUAACAGAUGUGCAAAGUUUGAAGGUGGUAUACCUUUGUGUGCAAUGAAAGUGUCAGCUGGGAUAUGUGCACCAGCACCCAAUUAAUUAGCGGACAGAGGUUUGAGUUGGAGCAUAUCUAUUAGGACCCGAAAGAUGGUGAACUAUGCCUGAACAGAAUGAAUUCAGAGGAAACUCUGAUGGAGGUUCGUAUCGAUACUGACGUGCAAAUCGUUCGUCAUAUUUGGGUAUAGGGGCGAAAGACUAAUCGAACCAUCUAGUAGCUGGUUCCCUCCGAAGUUUCCCUCAGGAUAGCUGGAGUUGCUCAGUUUUAUCAGGUAAAGCGAAUGAUUAGAGGAAUUGGGGACAGGUUUGUCUUUGACCUAUUCUCAAACUUUAAAUGGGUAAUAUGUAGUGGUUGCUGUAUGGAACUUCUAAGAUAAAUGGCAAUAUUGGGUGGGCCAUUUUUGGUAAGCAGAACUGGCGAUGAGGGAUGAACCUAAU